rnacentral:rRNA from 1 species
UACGUAGGGGGCUAGCGUUGUCCGGAAUCAUUGGGCUAAAGCGCGUGUAGGCGGUCCGGGUAAGUCCGCUGUGAAAGUCGGGGGGUCAACCCUCGAAUGCCGGUGGAUACUGUGGGCUAGAGUGCGGAAGAGGCGAGUGGAAUUCCUGGUGUAGCGGUGAAAUUGCGCAGAUAUCAGGAGGAACACCAAUUGCGAAAGGC